rnacentral:rRNA from 1 species
GACGAACGCUGGCGGCGUGCCUAAUACAUGCAAGUCGAACGCUGAAGGAGGAGCUUGCUUCUCUGGAUGAGUUGCGCACGGGUGAGUAACGCGUAGGUAACCUGCCUGGUAGCGGGGGAUGACUAUUGGAAACGAUAGCUAAUACCGCAUAAUAGUAGAUGUCGCAUGACAUUUGCUUGAAAGUUGCAAUUGCAUCACUACCAGAUGGUCCUGCGUUGUAUUAGCUAGUUGGUGCGGUAACGGCUCACCAAGGCAACGAUACAUAGCCGACCUGAGAGGGUGGUCGGCCACACUGGGACGUGGACACGGCCCAGACGCCUGCGGGAGGCAGCAGAAGGGAAUCGUCGGCAACGGAGGGAAGUCUUGCCGAGCAACGCCGCGCGAGUGGAGAAGGGUCUCGGAUCGGAAAGAUCGGUUGUAAGUGAAGAACGAGUGUGAGAGUGGAAAGUUCACACUGUGACGGUACCUAACCAGAAAGGGACGGCUAACUACGUG